GUUGGCCUUGAACUUGGGCCUCCCCAAGAACAGGCUCAGCAGGGGGAUGGGCAAGGAGCUGGGGGCCAGAGUGGGAGCAGCCAGGGGGAGGUGGGCAGGAGUCCUGCUUGGAAACUGAGCUGCAGCUUAGAAGACACCUACGGGUGAGCAGAGCCGAGAUGGGACUGCAGGCUGGACAGAGGUGGGUGGGUUGAAAAUUUGAGGCUUUGGGCUGGGGCCUGGGCUCUAGCUGGCAGAUCAGACCUUUGCCUACAGCCUGAGGCUGAGCCUCCUGCAGGCCAGGAAGGAAGCUCUGCACCAGAGAGAGUGAGGGCUCCGCUGGGCUGCUUGGCUGGGAGCCAGGGCUGCCCCGUGCCUCCCUCUGGUGGCCUAGCCGGGCGCUCACCCUCUCAGGUCUUUCUCUCAAGUAAGAACCGUCCACAGCUCCCAUCCUCGAAGUGAAAGACCGGACAUUCUGGCCUGGAAUUUGGGCGCAAACCAGUUUGUUGUCGAGUCAGAGCUGCUGCACUCAAGCCCAUGGGAAGCUGAGAGCCUAGGGUAGGCUGGUGCCAUCCCAAACCAUGCUGCCAUGGGGCUUGGGCCUUUCUGAUCCACUCCCAGGAACCCGGCUCUGGGCUCCCUAUAGAAGCAAGGCUGAACUCCCAGCCCCCAGUGUCCUUCCCACGCUGCUCUCUUGAAAGAAGAAAAAGACAAGACAAAGCCCCGAUCUGGGGCCUAUACUGACUCCUCUGGUGCAUAUACCCAACUACAGCCAAUUUCAAGCCAGCGGAGUGGUAUCACUGGAGAAUACACUGGGAAGAGAUGGGCACAAUCAACUCUCACGCUCCUAUGUGUCCCACAGUAAGGAGCAGGUAAGUCCGCCGAAGAGCUGUGUGGCUUCAGCAAGUGACAUAAUCUCUCUGAACCUCAGGCUUCUCAUCUGUACAACGGAGCCAGCAAUAAAGUCCAUCUCAUGGCAAUGUCAUGAGACCAAGUGGUCGAAUAGAAUAGGACUCUGUGCUGGCAACUAGGGAAUGGCAGAGGUGACAGAACAGGUGAGAGUUCUUGCUCUCUUAGACUGCUCAUCUUUCGGUAAAACCCCCGGGAGACAACACUCAAUAAACCUCCUCUCUUACUGUCAUGGCUUUAUUAGCACUGUUGCGUUGUCAUUCUUUCCUUUCUCUGGGCCUCUGCUUUCUCAUCUCUAAACUUAGAAUAUGGCUGAGUGGCUUUCUGUGACGCCAUCUAGCAUUGCCACGCCCAUCUGACAGACAGGAAAACCGAGGCACUCGGACCUGAAGCCAGGCCAAGGCUCCAGGCUGGGUCCCCCCUUGGGGGACUAAGGCAGCCUCAGGAGGACAUGGCAUGCAGUUGGCCGCAUGGAGGCUUUGUCAUGCUCCUUCUCCCCCUUGAGGGGGCACACAGGGACAUGGUGCACCAGUUUCCAAAACGCCCUCGCAUCAGGGCUCCCAGCCUCUGGAAACCCCAACCCCAGUACGCUGGCAGAGCCUGCUAGACAGGGGAGCUGAUGAAAUCCCUUCACAAGAGGCGCCCCAAAGAUCACAUGUUUCAAAUGCAAACCAGCUGGCCUGGGGAGGCAAAGGGCCCAUGUGGGCACCUUCCCCCUCCUGCAGAAGAACUGAGACGGCCCCUGGGAACGAACCCAAACAGGCUGCCCCAGAAGACCACAGGCUCCCGACCGAUCACCCGCUGUCGACGACAGAAACAAUGUCCGUUUUCACUACAGCCGCUCUCAGCCUCUCUCUCAGCUCUAAAAUAGCUGGGGAUUGUUAUCAGCAACUUUCCUCUCAACUGUCUCACUCAGAAGCAGAAGGUUUUUAAGCAGCGAUAAUGAUCUGCUCCACGCUGUCAUUUUCUUUCAACUAAAGCCUGGUAAAGGAGCCCUGCGAGAGUCUCAUCCAAGGUCAAACAGCAAGCACGUACCGCCUCUACCGGUGCCACCCCCAUCUCGCUGGGGAGAUACCAGCUCUGCGCCUCCCUGCCGUGCGCGCUUGGGGUCUUCUGUGUACUAAGAGGGGGACUGGCCUCAUUUUUGCAACUCGUUCCAGUUCCUACCACGGCCGAGGCUGCCCACCCCACCCUGGCCUUUGUCUGCCUCCCUCCCCACUGCUAAAAAAGAGGAAAAGAAACUUGCGUUAGGUGUCCGGGGAGAGCGCGUGGCUCAGGGACGCCAGGCUGUGCGGGUUGUUGCCGGGUGAACAAACCGCACACAAAUCCCAGCCCCGAAAAAGUCCCACCUCCCCUGUCACCGCAGCAACGGGAGCCACGCCUCCAGCGCAAACACAGCCCGCGGCCCCGCCAAGGACCACUCCCGACUCCCCGGGGACCCCUGCCUUCCCAGCGACCCAGCCCAGCUGGAAGGAGGAAUGGAGCCGAUGUCCCCAUUACUCGAAGGUGGAGAAUGAGGCCGGGGGUGGGGCGGAGACCGCAGCCAGCGGGGUCUGAACUCGCGCCCAGAUCGCAGGUUCCGGGCUCCCUCCCUUUCCCGGAGCCGCAAUCUGUACCCUACUCGUGCGCAUGGAGUCCCCACGUGGGAGAGACCCAAAGCAGCGCUGUCCCUGGAGAGGGGAGCCCAGCGGAAAUGUCCGAUCUCCCUCCCCAUUCUCCAGACCGGGAAGCUGAGCCCCGCGGGGACCCCCAAGAGACCCUCCCCAGCUCACCUGCGGGCCGCGGCGCGAGGGUGGUUUCCUGGAGUUGAGCGGCAAACAAAGGCCACCAAUAGGCGCGCGGGGCGGGGUGACGGCUGCUUUGCAUAAUACCGGAGGGCAGCCAGGGAUGGCGGGGGCGGAUACUUGGGGGGCGGGUCUUCGUGGUGCCCAACCAAUAGUAGGGAGGCGGCCGCUUGCACCCAGCCUCUCGCGACUCGGAAGUCGGAGAGCGGGCUCCCUGGUUCCAGGACUGAAAAUCUCACAUCUGCCUCGCUGCGUCUUCCUACUGGAAUCCGUCCUACCGCUGAUGGGAGACUGAAGCCCAGAGGGGCGGCAGCUGAGGAGCGCUGGGAUCUUGGCAGGCGUCUCUGGGGACCUCACUGUUCCCUUUGGGAAUCGAAGUUCCUAGCAUCAGCCAGGCUUGUCACAGGCAACAGGACUUAAUUAGAAGCAGGAUGAAGAGGGGCUCCCCUAAAGUACCUGGAGAUGCUGGGGGUGUCUUGGCCUUAACUGGGUGUCCUGGGCCCAGUCUUGAGUGUCCUAGUGCUGUGCUGAACAGACUUAAUGUCUCCCCAACCCAAGGACUCACUCUCACUGUGGAACAGAACCUCAGAAGCGCUCCCUCAAGUGACAUCUUCCUGCAAAAGCUCAUCUCUGGGUGGCUGAGGAGAGCUCCUCUCUGAGCUGGGCUCUUGUGAGGACUCAGGCAGCCAUUUUUCUCCACCUCACAGAGCCCAGGAUGGCAGUUGGCCUCUGCCACUGAUCCUGGCUUUACCAGCCCAGAGAGCUGGAAAAACAUUUCUGGCCAGCUAACUAUGGACUGCAGCCUCUACAAAUGGUGAGCCAAAAUAAACCUCUCCUUCAAGCUGUGGGUGCUGGGCACUGAGUCCCAGUGAUGAGAGAGUGACUAAGACAGCACUCCAACAUCAGCUCUCCUGGGUCUCCCGCCUUCGGACUCAGCCUGGAACGAUGUCUCCAGCUCUCCCAGGCCCCAGCCCACCAAUGGCAGAUCAUGGGACUUCUCAGCCUGCACAGGAAGUCUUUUGUGUAGCUGUGCAUAUCCUGCUGGUCCUGUUUCUAUGGGGAACCAAGACUAACACAGCCACCUGAGUCAGGGCUGGGGUGAGCCCUUAACACUGAGUCUCAGAAGCUCCAGACCGGACCGAAGGGGCUGGGGACACAGCAGAGGAACAAGAUGGUGCCCCGAAAUCCCAGGAGCCAGAGGCCCUCUGGCACGAGUGCGAAGGCAGCCAUGUGGCACCCUGGAGCUGGGCCAGAAGGUGGGGCUGGAGGAGCGGGGGAGGAAUGGACAUGGAGCCUGAAGUGGAGCAAGCAGACAGCUGGAGUCCAGCCCUGCCAGACUCCAUCUGCCCAUCCAAUCCUCGUGUAUCCAAAAUAGCUGCAGACAGCAGCAGGCUUUGAGCCGGGGACGCAUCAGCGGAACAGCUCGAAGGCAGGCUUCGAGAGAGGCUCAAGGUUGAGAGCGCACGUCUGCAUGUCCUGGCCACCUCCUGGCACCCCUGGGGACUCCAGCGAUCCUCCCAGGGGACCCUUCCUCCACUCUAGAGCUGGGGUAACUGAGGCUCAGAGACAGAAGGUUACCAGCUCAAGGUCACACAGCGAGGACAGGGCAGGACACCAAGCCCUAUUCAAGGCCUGACUCAGACAAAAAACCCACUUCCCACAGGGCCGGGAUGCCUUCCAGGCCUGCUGCCAUCAUCCCCUUUUUCCGGCCUGCGGUGCUGUUCAGAACAUUCCCUUCCUAUGGAGGAAAGAACCCCUUAUCGAUACUCUGAGUCAGCCCAGUCGGGGCCCAGAGUCACAAAAAUCUGGUUUGGGUCAACUGAGAGGGAAGAAAGUGAGAAGAACGGCAGGGGAUCCUGGAAACAUACAGGUUAGGAUUGGAGGGUGUCCAGGCCCAGGUGCUGCUCCAGCACCCAGGGCCUCAGCAGAACGAGGCCCUCUGCUCCCCAGCACCGUCCCAGCUCCUGGACCUCUGCCCUCCUGGAUGGAUGGAGGAUGCUUCCGUAAAGGGCUAUUUUCAGUGCUUUGUUCUCUAGCUUCAUUACUCUCCAGUCAGGCCCAACGGGCUCCCCACCCCUAUCCCAAAUGCACCUGGGACCUGAGGCGGGUGGCCCUUUCUCAUCCGGAACGUGCAGAAAUGGAGCCACUGAGUCACAAAAGCUUCCCAAAGGUCACCAGGGCCCAGACUUCUGCCCAAAGGGGCUGCUGACAAAGGGACAGAGAGGGGACAGACAGCAGGUCGAAAGCCUAAGAAGAUGGCGGAAAGGGGAGGGCGGGAUUCUGAAGAGAAGGCAGAGGCAAGGGAGCAAUGGAGGAAACAGAGGAAGCAAAGAGGGGAGAAGCAAGGGGAGGCAUGGGAAGCGGAGCUUGUGGCACGAGAAGUGAUGGGAGGGCAGUGAUUGGAAUGGACCGGGAGAGCCAGGAAGUCCUGACAUUCCUGGGGCAUCGGACCCCCACUUCUCCCGCCACUGCUUGGGGUCGGCGCCUGGAGGCUGCAGGCAACGCCAGCGAGGGGGCUGGGGGACAAGGACCCCAACAGCAAGGAGCCGGGGUCCACCUGCAUGGCUGAGCCCCCAUGAGAACAGCCCAGUGCCAGCAGCACCGUGCUCUUAUCAGCUGGUCACUCCUGCUGAGAUCUUGGGCCACUAAGUCACACGGCACUCAGGAGGCUCUCUGGAAGUUUCUGCAUGAUGUCCCGGGGUGGGAUGGGACAGGUGCCUGGCCAGGGCCUGGUGGUGAGGAGUCGCGUCUCUGGGAGCCUGUGACAGAUACCCAGGCCUCACCC